CACGUAGGGGCCAAGCGUUGUCCGGAUUCAUUGGGCGUAAAGAGCUCGUAGGCGGUUCAGUUAGUCGGGUGUGAAAUCUCCGGGCUCAACCCGGAGGGGCCACCCGAUACUGCUGUGACUCGAGUCCGGUAGGGGAGUGGGGAAUUCCUGGUGUAGCGGUGAAAUGCGCAGAUAUCAGGAGGAACACCGGUGGCGAAGGCGCCACUCUGGGCCGGUACUGACGCUGAGGAGCGAAAGCGUGGGUAGCAAACGGG
rnacentral:rRNA from 1 species